CAUAAUUAGAAAAGUAUCACCAUUUUCCUGGGACAAAAAUAUGUAAGUUUAAACAUUUUUAGUGCCAGGUCAGUAGUCACGAUUUACCAACAGCAUUUUUUAUUUUAAAAAUACAGUUAGUGACUACACCAUUGGCUAACAAACUGAGACUUAAAGCAUUCUCUAGAUGCAAAUGCUACAAAUAAAUCAAAUUAUUAGGCAUAUUCACUAAUACUUACAAACUUAACUUCAUAUAUAAAGCAAGGUAGAUCACCAGUGUGGCCAUGCAAACAGGGUUUGAGGACUUCAAUAUUUAAAGCAAGUUAGUCCAACCCACAGCCCAAGGGCCACAUGCAGCCCAGGAUGGCUUUGAAUGAGGCCCAACACAAAUUAGCAAAUUACUAAACUUACUUAAAAUGAUGGGAUUUUAUUUUUUGCCAUUUUUUGGUUUGUGUGUUUGGUUUUUAGCUCAUCAGCUUUGUUAGUGUUAGUGUAUUUUAUGUGUGGCCCAAGACAAUACUUCCAAUGUGGCCCAGGGAAGCCAAAAGAUUGGACACUCCUGAUUUAAAGGGAAAAGGGAGGGCAGAUGAAGAAAGAGGAUAAAAAAAAGAGAGAGAAGGUAGACAAAACAGGAAAGUGGUUAGUCUUUGGAGGCUUUGAUUAGCACUUACUGAAUCUACAUUUUACAUGUGAAAGGAGUGGGUAGCGAAACAGUGAAUUAUGCAUAGUGCUCAGUGCGUCUGCAUUUUUGCAUAAGAUAAAGUAAACAUAGAGGAGGUGCUCAAAUAUGCAUUCCUCUCAGGUGAGCCAAGGGAUGCCCUCUAGGCCUGUCUUUGUCAAGGUACCGGUGAAGAUAAGCUGUUAGUUUACAUUGUCAAGGUGAAAUAGAACAGCGUUCUGUUUUAGGGUAAAGCUCUUGGGGCCCACGAGGAAUUUCCUUGUGAGCAAUUUGUGAAGGAGGCCACCGGGGGAGACAUGUGGCCUUCUGUCUUUGCAGCUAUCUACUUAGGAACAAAAUGGAAGGCAGUUUUUGCAUGAUGCAGUUACUGAGCUUCACUUUUCCCUUUGGCAUAGUGAGUUUGGGGUCCUGAGAUUUUUAUAUUCCUUUCACAGCCUCACUAUACUUGAAUUAAAAUACAAUCUACAUGUUAAAACUGACCACAUCAUUCUUUCCUGUGUGUCUUCAAAGGAUUUAAGGCCCAUCCAGAUAAUCCAAGAUGAUCUCAUUUCAAAGCCUUAAUUAUAUCUUUGAUGACUCUUUUUCCAAAUAAGGUCUCAAUUAGAGGUUCCUGGAAUAAGACACGGACUCAUCUCCCUGGGGGCCACCAUUCAGCCUGAUCCGGAAGGAAGGCCAUGAUUUCAGCUCUCUGGGAUUUGAGACAAAGAGGCCCCUUUUCUUUCAUUUUAUCUUUUCAUGUCUCUUCUUGCCAUGUACCCACAUGAUUGAGUGUGGGCUGAGGGUGAAUCCAAGAAGGGCUUUGUUUUGUGGUCAGUACAGGCUUUGGUCCACAGAGACAACAAUACUUUCAAUACUCUUUUGUUCUGCCCCAGAGGAGCUCAACACAGAAUUGCCUAGAACAAGAAACUGGUGAGAGAAGCUGCAGCCUGUUGAGACUCCACAAGACUGAAGAUAUGAAAAGAGGAAAUAUGCAUGAAUGCCCGCACGGAGAACCACCCCCACCUGCUGCUCCCGCUCUAAUGAUCACGCCCAUUAUCAACUGGGGGAUGGCUCUGUGCCUUGUCCUUGCAUUACAUGGACCAAGAACACUUCACAGGACUCAGAGAGGCAAAAAUAGAUACAAAAGAAGAAGGAAUUACAGAAGAAGUCACAUAACAUUAUUGCCUACAACUGACUGUUUACCUUGAAUACUUGAAGACCAGAAUGAAGAUUCUUGGGGUGAAGAAUUACAGCCUUAGCAUGGAGCAGGCCUCGGUGCAUCGGCUUUCAGCUAGGCAUGCCUGCCAAUGUUCAACGUCCUCCUGGGAUACGGAAGGCACCGUGAUAGACAUCUGGGCAAGUCAACAGGAAGGUGGAUAUCCAAAUCUCUCUCUUCGCAAUGAGUUUCCAGUUAGAUGGAGGAGAGAGUAAUAAAACACAGAGCUGAGAUUCCUGACUUCACAGAUCCCUGAGGAGAUGUUUACUAAAGGGAAUCUUCUGGUCACUGUUACCUUCCUCCGUACUUACCUGCCUCAUGGAUAACACUGAAGAAUGCAGUUUACUUACAUCUUUUUCUGUUUGACAGAAGACAGUUAUUAGAACCCGAAAGGAAGAAGCUAUACGACUGGGGACACAUGUCUUAGAAGCACACUCAUUAGAUAAAGUGUCGCAUACUCUUUGAUAAGUCCUUGCCGGAGUCCCACUGCUCCCGAACACAUGCCCUGAGGCAGCG
rnacentral:lncRNA from 10 species